rnacentral:rRNA from 1 species
UACGUAGGGUCCGAGCGUUGUCCGGAAUUAUUGGGCGUAAAGAGCUCGUAGGCGGUCUGUCGCGUCGGCUGUGAAAACUCAGGGCUCAACCCUGAGCCUGCAGUCGAUACGGGCAGACUAGAGUUCGGUAGGGGAGACUGGAAUUCCUGGUGUAGCGGUGAAAUGCGCAGAUAUCAGGAGGAACACCGGUGGCGAAGGCGGGUCUCUGGGCCGAAACUGACGCUGAGGAGCGAAAGCGUGGGGAGCAAACGGG